rnacentral:tRNA from 4 species
GCCAGAGUAGUUUAGUGGUAGAACACGAUCCUUGUAAGAUUGUGGCCUGUGUUCGAUUCACAGCUUUGGUA